rnacentral:rRNA from 1 species
GACAGAGGCCCCGAGCGUUAGGCGGAAUCACUGGGCUUAAAGCGUGUGUAGGCGGAUCGUUAAGUGUCUUGUGAAAUCCCACGGCUCACCCGUGGAACCGCUGGGCAUACUGGCGAUCUCGGGCCAUUCAGGGGCGACUGGAACAAGCGGUGGAGCGGUGAAAUGCGUAGAUAUCGCUUGGAACGCCGAAGGUGAAAACAGGUCGCUGGGGGAUGUGCCGACGCUGAGACACGAAAGCCAGGGGAGCAAACGGG